UUUCAAAUAACAUGAAUGGAUGAAUGGAAAAAAAUAAUGAUUAUUCACUUUUAUUUAAUUGAUAUUGAAAUAAUAAACACCUAUAAAAAUAUGUAUUAAACUCAGAAUGAAAAACAUUCAAAUGUUAUUGGACCGGCAAAUGUCAUUUUUUUGGAUUGUAUGUUGCCAGUUGCUAAGCAACCCAGAAACAAUAAUGCGUUUACUUCCCAUAAGCAUGAAAUCCAGUGAGUUUUUAACAACCAUUCCUGUUUUUUUGUAAAGAUCUUUGCUACAAUUAAUUUCAAAUGGAGUAGGUAAAUGGCGGAGGUGCAUAUAAUUGGUCAAAUUACCGAAGCAAAAGAAUUUCCAAAACAAGAACUUUUUUGUAAAUGGUAUAUUCAAAUAGAUUUGUGAAUACUAAUGAGCGCGUAUAAAUAGGAAAUAAUUGGAGGAUUAUAGAGGGCAAAAAAGAAGGACAAACCCAGGUUUCCUCGUCCCAUUUUACAGAAUCAUGCAACUGGUUAUUUCCUAUCGAUAUCCAUUUAGCCACUGCCGGAGUUAGAGAUACCGAUUUUCAGUGAAGAUUCCGUCAUAACUACAACCAAAAAAUGACAGACAAUAUAAUUAAAGCUUAAUCAAAAUUUUGUAUGUUUACCACUCUGUGUUUACUGCCAAAAAAAUUACGUCAUAUAUUUUCAUACGUUUUCAUUUAACGUUUUUAUUGAUCCAUUGACGGAUAUACCUAUAAUCGAAAAAAAAACGGCGCCCAGUUGGCUUGGAAAAAACGAUCAAUGACAUCCCAAUAAUUUCUAUAUAAAAUGACAACGAUCUUCAUUUCAUAGCCAUCGCUGACGUCGUUUUUUUUUUUAUUUUAUGGUACAGCUCCUAAACGGAUUAUCAUUGGGCUCACUAACAGGCAACUUUCUCCCAA